UGUAAACCACAAAUCUUUAGUUUACUAAAUUUAAAGUUGCAAAACUAACUUUUUUUAAAGUUGCAAAACUAACUUUACUUUUAAAGUUAGUUUUGCAACUUUACAAGGGGUAGUAAUUGUUUUAAGGAAUUUUGUAAUGAAUCUUUUGUGUGGAUUUCACCAAUCUUACCUGUUUUUCCAUCAUUGAGUCCUACUCCAAGUAGUUUUUUUACUACUGUUUGAAGAAGUUUAGAUAAUUUAUCACUUGAGCACAUAAGUAAUUUAUCACAACUAAAUAAUGAGCCUUUUUUUCUGAACAAUCAAGAGGACAAAUGAGCCCUAGAAAAAAAUGGUUUGAAUACCAGAUUGUCUUAUUUAACUUCUCGGCUUGCUGUCACAUCCAGCAUGCAUUGAAAAAAAUUAGCUACUGUGAGGGCAAAAUUGAAAAGCAUGCUAUAUAAGUUGAAAGUUCUGAGACAAAGCAUUACACGAAAGAAAGAAAUUAUUAAAGUUUUGAGAGCUGAAAUUAAAAAUCUUAAACAAAAGUUGCAAACAUUUUAUUACAAUAGGAUAAUAGGCAAUCCUUAAGUUUAAAAAAAAGGCAAUAAAGUUUAAGAACUUAAAAAGCUAAAACAAGUUAAAGUUGGACAUAAUAAAGAUUUUAAUGCAAAUAAAAUGCUGAUAGCUAGUUACAAAAACAAUAUAAUCCAGAUGGAGGAGGAUAACAUUACCAUCGUGAAUAGCUCAGAAAUGAUAAGACUUAUACAUUACAAAUGUAUUAGUGAUAAUUUUGGCAUGUUAUUGGAAAAUGUACCAACAUGUAACAAACCAUUUCUAAUGGAGAAAAUUAUGCCGUAUUUAAGUGUCAUUUUUAAUGAUGUUCCCCAUGAUUGUAUGAUUAAACAAAUGGCUCGUGAGCUUGGCAGUAUAGCAGAUUUGCAAGCAUCAGAAUGGGCUAUCAUUGAUUCACGUAUUACUCUUGUAUUUGAUGCAAAAAUCCAAGAAGGUGUACAUAUUAAUAACAUUCACUUAACAUAACAAAGAAUAAAUGCCAAGUCAUUGCUCUGGAUCAAUUAGCUGGAGGUACAGCUGAUACUUACAAAAAUUAUAUAUGUAAAGCAAUUGAUCAUCUAGCUUUUAUUUAUUCAGAUUUCCACUUCGCUUCUUGUAAUGAUAGCCGUCGAUGGAUCAUCUCAAACAUAUCAAAUGCAAUGUCAGACAGAAUUGCAGUUUACCAUCUUAUUAUAAGCAAACUGUGUGACACUUGGGGGAAAAGUCUGAGCUGCCAUUUACACACUCUUGAUACAAUUGCUACUUCAUGUUUGGCUAUAAUUGUAUGGCAUUUUAAAUUUUUGGCUAUGAACAAGUUGAGUUUUGAACAUGGCAAAUGUGAUCCAAAAGAAUUUAUUAGUUUUUAGAUGAUCAAAUACUACCAUGAUGUAUCAUUUCAAGGUAUCGAGGAAAUUGUCUUCAUAUUCUUUUUCAUUUUUGUUUUAUUUUUAUAAAACAUAAUGAGUUUAAGCAUUUUUUAAUAAUUGGAAUAGUAAAAUGCGGAAUUCUACAUACAGUUCUUAGAGCAGCAUAACGAAACAGUUUAAAAAAAAAAAGUGUGUGCUUGCAUUAUUUGGAAAACCAUCUCCUUAAUAAUCACAUAAAACUUUGUCAUCCAGGAUCCAGCCUAGAUGACAAGGUUUUAUGUGACUGUUGAGGAAGCAAAUUUCGACCAUUUAAGUGAAAUCCAGGUGUUUAUACUAAACACCUGGAUUUAUUUUAAAAUAUAAUAAAAUUUAGAAUCGGCAUUUUUUAGCAAAAUGUUUUGCUAAAAAAUGCAGAUUCUAAAUCAAAUCCUGGUUCAAUUUUUAAAAUGAUCUUGAACCAAAUAUUUUAGAUCCAAUAAAAAAAUUUUGCUUGAUUGAUGAAAACUUUAUCAAGAUGACUUCUGCUUGUCUUAUUGUAGUGGGAGAUGUCAUAAGUCAUUAAUAUAAGAGAUAAAUUUUCCUAUCUAUAAUCCAGACUCUCAAGGAGGAGAUAGCAAGUGCAAGGCUUCACAAUAUAGAUAGUGAAGAGUUAAUAGAAAUGUUUAGUAUAAAAAAUGCAGAUUCUAAAUCAAAUCCUGGUUCAAUUUUUAAAAUGAUCUUGAACCAAAUAUUUUAGAUUCAAUAAAAAAUUUUUGCUUGAUUGAUGAACACUUUAUCAAGAUGACUACUGCUUUUCUUAUUGUAGUGGGAGAUGUCAUAAGUCAUUAAUAUAAGAGAUAAAUUUCCCUAUCUAUAAUCCAGACUCUCAAGGAGGAGAUAGCAAGUGCAAGGCUUCACAAUAUAAAUAGUGAAGAGUUAAUAAAAAUGUUUAGUGAGGCUAAAGAAAGAUCGCCUAAUGCAACAAUUUGUUAUAUUUCAUACAAAUUAGGAUCAAAAAAGAAUCAAACUUUUAAUUACCUAGAUAGUUUAGAUCAAUUAUCUAGAGAAAAUGUAGUUAUGUGUAAAAUGUGGUGUAAAAUGUAGGUAAGUGUAAAAUAAAGUUAGGUGUAAAAUAGUGUAAGAUGUAGUUAGGUGUUAAAUGUGGUGUAUUCAGACAGGCCAUAAAAAGAGGAUGAUAAAUCAAAUAAAGCAUAAUGAUAAACUAGUAGAUAUUUCAAAAAAACAUGCAUGCAAAUGCCAAAAAUAGAAUGAGAAAGACAAAAAAAAGUUAAAAUGACAUUCGCAUGAACUCUCUUACAAUGAAAUAAAGAGUUUAUAUACAUUUUCUACCAAACUACUUGAUGACUAAGGUGAUGUUAUGUCAGAUAGAAUUGUUGGGCAAAAACUCUGCCAUGAAUGGUAUGAUAGUGAGUAUUUGAAGUAUGUCAUGUAUGAUGGUAGAGAAGAAAAACUUAAAAAAAACAAAACAAGGCAAAGUUUGCACUAUUUCUUACUGGAAUAAAGAUAAUACUGAUACUUAAGUUGUUGACUACAACAUGAAAAAGUUACAGCUUGCUGCUGAUGUUGGACCAGGAGAGUUGAUCUUUUUUUGAAGUGUAAUAUGUAACAAAUUAUGAUAAUAUUACUUGUAAUGAUACUUUCAAAAUAGAUACCGCAAGUGAUGAAACUUGUAAAACAAAUACCGCAUGUGAUGAAACUUAUAUAAAAGUUUAUCGCAAGUUAUAAAACUUGAAAAGAUAGUCAUAUCAAGUCCGGUAUGCCAGGUAUUAAACCAUUUGUUUUUGUUUCAUAAGUUUUAGAGUAGAAUAAAAGUAUUUAACUUGGACCACAAGUGACAAGUGACAAGACCACAAGUGUUAUGACUUGCAAAAUGUUUUGAAAGGCGGCUUAUCUUAUCAUAAGACUAAUAUUUUGGAAAUGAAAUAUACUUAUUUAUUUUGUUUGUUAAAGAUACAAUUAUUUUUAAGAAUUCAACAUCUUUUUAUUUUAGGAUGUAGGUAAUCAUCACCACCCUAUUCAACAAACUUCUCAACUUAACCAAAAUUUACAAAAGGACUUUUUUUUUCAAAAGUAGGAUUGGUUGUGGUCUUCAACUUUACCUUCUAGGUUAUACCUAGUGUCAAAAGCCUAAUUCAGAUUGCUAUUGUAUCUAAAUGGUGUCAUUUAAAGUGACUUGAACAAGACAAGGUGUCCUCUGAUACUGUUUCUUUAGAUUGAGUCAAAAGAAAAGUUAUGAGAUGGCCAAAGAAAGCAGCUGAAGUAAAAGUAAAGUGAGCAGGUCAACUCUCACGUGCUGGUGGAAAAUUACCAAAACAAAUGUUAAGGACUUAAUUCAUAAUGGCAAACAAAGAAUACACGAAUUAUUUAAGAUAUGGUUGAAAUUUGGAAAGAAAGUAAAAAUCAAACUAGUUUUGCUCUAAAUUAUUGUAUAUAAUUUUAAAAUUUUGAAACAGAAGUAUUGCAAGUUUUUUGUUUUUUUUUAGUUUAUUCAUUUACUAAUAUAAUUAUCGUAUAUGCCCUUAAUAAAUGAAAGGAAAAAAGAACUUCACAGGUAGUGUUAUACAGUGUAAAAUUGUGCUUUAUUUAUCUUUACAGCGUAGGAAUAACAUCGUGAAAAUGUUAGAAGAACGUUGGGGGACGUUUUUACGAUGUUUGCCCAACGUCGUCAAAAUAACAUUGCAAUCAUUUUUUGUUUUGUUUGAAGCUUUAACCAACUGAGCUAUCUAGCCACAAUAACGUUAUCAAAAUGACGUUUUUCCGCUGUUUCAUUUAUAACAUCAUACCAACGCCUUUCCAACGAUACGAAAUAUGUUGGAACAACGUUGCUCAUAAUAUUUCUUAUUGGGUGUAUACAAGGCUCCUGUUUCAUUCACAGACGCACUGAUAAACAAUAGAAUGUUUACAAUACUUCUUUGUUCUAAAAGAUGUUAGAUUUAGUUUUCCAUCGUAUAUAUUUCUAGUAGAGUAGGAAUGUACUAGUCUACUCUCUGUAAACAAGAUUGUAAUGGAAAAUGGUAAAUUUUUAUUUAAGUAGUCAAAAGCAAAGAGAAGAUUAGCUUUACUAGCGCUGGAAAUGUUGAAACGUUAAGUUUUUUGAAGAACUAGUUAGAAAUAGUUACCAAAUUGACCCCAAACUUGACAGCAGUAGUUAAGAUAAGAUGAGAAUAAUGUAUAGUAAGCAAUCUUAAGUGUAACUUUAACAACAUAAUGACGAAUUAUUGUCGCCACAAAAGUGAAGCAAUCACUGUUCCGGGAGUAGGAUCAAUUGUCGCCAGAAGGCCUGCGGCCCAUCGCUGAAAAUUUCAAGACGCGUUUGGGCUUAUGUAUCGCCGCGGGAGUAGGCCACUUUGAAACCGGCUGAUUAUAUUAUUGCGGAAGGUCCAUAUUGUUGUUAUUCAUCGCUGUUUUACUUAGUUUUUGUUGGUUUAAUAAAAAAUGAUUAAAAA